GGAAGUAAAAGUCGUAACAAGAUUUCCGUAGGUGAACCUGCGGAGGGAUCAUUAUCGAGUGUUACAACUCCCAAACCCUUUGUGAACCAUACCUAUCGUUGCUUCGGCGGGAUCGCCCCGGCGCCUCUGCGCGCCGGGCAAGGCGCCCGCCGGGGGCCCGAAACUAUUGCUUUUUCAGUGGUAUUCUCUCUGAGUGGCACAAGCAAAAUAAAUUAAAACUUUCAACAACGGAUCUCUUGGUUCUG
rnacentral:misc_RNA from 1 species